UACGUAGGGGGCAAGCGUUGUCCGGAAUCAUUGGGCGUAAAGAGCGCGUAGGCGGCCCGAUAAGUCCGCUGUGAAAGUCAAGGGCUUAACCCUUGAAUGCCGGUGGAAACUGUCGGGCUAGAGUCCGGAAGAGGCGAGUGGAAUUCCUGGUGUAGCGGUGAAAUGCGCAGAUAUCAGGAGGAACACCGAUGGCGAAGGCAGCUCGCUGGGACGGUACUGACGCUGAGGUGCGAAAGCGUGGGGAGCAAACAGG
rnacentral:rRNA from 1 species